UGGAGUUACAAUGUGACACUUUUCAAUUGUU
rnacentral:piRNA from 1 species